GACUGCACCAACGCCUGAGCCUGAGCCGGCUCUGUUCUGAAGGGAGCAGGUGGAGUCAGUUGUCCGAGAUGCGCAGAGCCCCCCUGCUGACUCUCACCUGCAGCAAGGAGAGUCUGCAGGGCACGUGGAAGAAAGCCUACCAGGACCACAGGAGAAAGGUUGGAAAUUGUAUAUGAGAGUUUAAAAAAUAGAUUUCAGUGAGAAAGAAGCAGAAUGGCAAUUGCAGGAUGCAAUAAAUAGGGCAGGAGGCUGGCAUUGCUGAAUGGCGACCCCUCUCAAGACUCAUCCCUUUGAAACACAGCAUCAGGAAAUUGUUUGCUGAGGAGAGGAGCUGAGGCAGUCAGGGGAGAGCACAGGGCCUGAUCCUCCAGGCAUGGCUUUCCAGGGCUUAUCAUCAUCGCAGAACCCAGGGUAGGCAUCCGGCGUGAAACAGGACAGGACAGCCAUGUCAUCUACCCAUGGGGCACCAGAAGAGUCAAAUACAUGCCACCAGAAUUUGGUGGGCAUCUUGAGACCCUGAACCAGCUUGUUUAGCUCUGCAGCCCUUGGCCUGCAGGUCUGUGACUCCUCUGACUCAGGACAUUGGAACACAGUUGCUAUAUAAGACCUUUGUGGAUCGGAAGGUUUGGGCUUGAUCUGUGGUUUAAAAACCCAGUCUCUUCCUCCUGCGUCUUCCCCAGUGGCAUGAUGCUCAGCUGUUCCCCCAAGGCCCUCUGAAACAAACAAAUCAUACCAGUUUAAGACUGCACCAUCUCGCCUGUAUCUUGAAACGUGAGGCACAGUCAAGCUUUGGGUUAUCAAGUCACUGAGCUGCUUUCUUGACCUCACUGCACAAGAGAAAUGCCUACGCUCUCCAGACACGUGAUCCCAUCAUUCAGACAUUAUUAGCAAUGGGACUGCCAGAGUUAUCGUCUCCAGCUGAACCAUCUGGUAUCCGGUCAGUGGCCAUAUGCUUCCUGGCUGCAUCCAGGCGCUCCUUCAGGACUCAAAAGUGAGGGGUGUGCUCUGUGCUGAGCCUGUGGAGCAUGUGGACGUGACGGAGCCUGCACUUCAGUGGGCGGUGGAGGCCAGCACGCAGGCAGGUCCAGGAGGCCCGGCCGCUGGUGGACUCCCACGCCCAGCCGACCCCCAGUCACCUCCACCUGAAACUUGGGAAGCUCAAGCUGGAGGAGGGCCGGCUCUCCGUCAUCACCAGGGACAACCGUCUGCUGCUGGAGAAGGUGUCGGGCAUCCUGAGGCCCCAGGCACAGACAACCAGCAGAGACACCCACGCGCAGGAGAAAUAUCUAUGCUGUUUCCCGGAGUAUAAACGGGAGGAAAAGAGAACAGGAGCUUCGCAGAGCUCAGAGAGAAAACGAAAACGCUCUAGGAAGGAUCACAAGCUCGGAGCCUUCCUACCGCGCUCGAAGAUGGAGGGAGGACCUGGGAAGGGCCCGGACCCCCGGGCCCCGCGGCGGAGAUCCCGGACGAGGGCAGGCCCCCGCGUGAGAAGUUUUCUUUAGCAAAUGUCAAGAAAAUACUUGGAAACUAUGCUUCAAACCCAUCCUUCACUUAUUUACUUUGACUCUCUUGAAAUUCCACUUUAACAAAACAGGAAGCAGAUAAAGCCCAAGACCAAAGGGAGAUGUUAAGAUAAAAUAAAACAAAGAAAGGGAAAACAGAAGCUCCUAGAAAUAGGGCUUCCGGCAGCUACAGCCCAGAGACUGCACUUUAUUUGAAGUGUCACAGGCUUUGCUAAGUGUGGGGCCCAUGGAGCAGCCCAAGAAAGGGAGCAGCACUUGCAGUUCUGACAAAGACCAGGCCCCGCAGGGCUGGGCAGCACAUCCCAGUGUGGAGCCUCCAGGCGAGGUCAUCUGCUUUGUCUUCUGAAAAGACAGACCUGGAAACAAACACCAGCUCAGCACCUCUGGAUCCCAACUCGGAAAAUCCAGCUCUGAAGACUGCGCUCUAAUAAGCUGCCCUCAUGCCCUGUUGGGAAUUUCCAGGGCCUUGGCUUCUAUGUGCAGGACGAGGGUGAUGACAGGCACAGGGCAGAGGGACAGACACUCAGCUAUGGAUUUCCUGUCGAAAAUCCCCUUCCUGACACUGGGGCGACAGCUUUGAAUUAGCGGGACUUAUUCUGAACAGUGUGCUUCCCUUUUCCUAGACAAGCCCCUGCCUCCAUCCUUGGAAAGUUCAGGGACUUCGCACCCAGGCGGGUAGAAGGACAAAACCAAGCUUUUUGAAAACUGCAGGUUUAGGGAGGAAAUAACUCAGUUUUACAGGACCAGAAAGUUGGGGAAAUGUUCAAAAGAAACCCCCGUAGCCACCUCUGACCAGCUCUCUGAAGACCAGAUGCCACCUCCCCAACAAAACGCCUCCCCAGGAAAACAGUCUGGCUGUUCCUCAAAAAGUAACCAUAAAAUUACCAUAUAACCUGACAAUUCCACUCCUUGGUAUAUGCUCCAGAGAAUUAAAAGGCAUGUCCACACAGAAACUUGUGCAAGAACGUUCCGUCAACUGACGAGCAAAUAAACAAAGUGUGGUAAUAACCACGUAACAGAGUAUUAUGCAACCCUAAAAAGGAAUAACCGCUGCAUUAUGGGUCAACACUGAAGGCGGUAUGCUCAGUGAAAGAGGCCAGAUAUAAACGGCCGCAUAGCGUCAGAUUCCACUUCUAUGAAAGGUCCAGCACAGGCCAGUCCAUAGACGUGCAAAGUAGAUUAGUGGCUGCCAGGGGCUGGGGGAGAAGUUGGGGCCAUAUCUGAGCGUGGCGGGCUUGGGGGUGGGUGAUGAAAGACUUCUAAAAUUGGAUUUGGUGAUGAUUGCGCAACACUGAAUAUACCAAAACCACUGACAUACGCAAUUGAAAAGGGCGAAUUUUAUGUUACAGAACUGUAUCUCAAUAGGCUGCUUUUUAAAAACCAUAAGAUUAAUUCUAAAUAAGGUAGAAUUGUCAAUGCAUUUAAAUACUCCAUUUCCCAGGCAGUCUAGUAAACUGAUAUUUUACUGUCCUUACCUAAGGAUAGUGUUUGUUUCCAAUAUGCAUUUUUGAUCCAACAGGAACUGAAACUGAAAUUUAGCACGGCCACAUCCUGGACCCCAAAAGUGAAAUGUAGGAGAGGCCUCAGCACACAAAGUAGGAAAAGAAAAGCGUGAGAAGUAGUGACAGGGAGACGGCAAGGCCAUCCUGGUUUCCUGGUGCCACAGGCAGCUUGGGUCCCAAAGGAUGCUGGUCCACACCUCAGCUGGGCCAGCGCCCCCCCCCCCCAUUAUCACACAAGGACAGCUGUAAAUGCACAUGAGUCAGCACCCAAAACUGUGUCCACAGGAUAUAUCUGACCAGAUGAUGCAGCAAAACUAUUUUACAUGCUUCUUAGGCUAAUAGCUGGAAACAAAUUAUGCAGAGUAACACGGGAGGUUAAAGACUUCUGAAUUGGAUUUUCUUCUCUGAUUCUUCUCACUCUACCAUAUUUUUGCUGUUGUGGAUUUGUUUACAAUUCUCAGGUGUAUUUGUGUAAUUUGCCCUAAAAUCUGGGAUUGUUACUUUAACAAAUACCUAAAUAAAUCAGAUUAAAACUC